AUUGAACGCUGGCGGCAUGCUUUACACAUGCAAGUCGAACGGUAACAGGCCUUCGGGUGCUGACGAGUGGCGAACGGGUGAGUAAUGCAUCGGAACGUACCCAGAGGUGGGGGAUAACGCAGCGAAAGCUGUGCUAAUACUGCAUGUGAUCUGAGGAUGAAAGCGGGGGACCGAGCAGCAAUGUUUGGCCUCGCGCCUUUGGAGCGGCCGAUGUCGGAUUAGCUAGUUGGUGGGGUAAAGGCCUACCAAGGCGACGAUCCGUAGCUGGUCUGAGAGGACGACCAGCCACACUGGGACUGAGACACGGCCCAGACUCCUACGGGAGGCAGCAGUGGGGAAUUUUGGACAAUGGGCGCAAGCCUGAUCCAGCAAUGCCGCGUGCGGGAAGAAGGCCUUCGGGUUGUAAACCGCUUUUGGCAGGAACGAAACGGUGUCCGCUAAUACCGGGCGCUAAUGACGGUACCUGCAGAAUAAGCACCGGCUAACUACGUGC
rnacentral:rRNA from 1 species